rnacentral:lncRNA from 1 species
UUGGCCAAGAAAGUUUAAGGGUACAACUAUACCUUGUUAAAUGUACAAAGAUCAUAGUGGUAUGUAUGGAUGUUAGAGGGUGACCAAAGGCUUAGAAAAUAACCCUAAAGAGGUCCACAUGGGUAGACACACAGGCAUGUGUCUAGGCCGUGUGUGACACACGGUCAGCCCUCAUGUGCGUGUUUCUUGGCCAUGUGUCCCCUGCACCUAGAAUUAUAGGUCAGUUUGCAUUAUAGUAAACACACGAACAGAGACAUGGCCGUGUGUCUCAACCUUAUAGAGGACAUGGCC